rnacentral:rRNA from 1 species
AUUGAACGCUGGCGGAAUGCUUUACACAUGCAAGUCGAACGGCAGCACGGGGGCAACCCUGGUGGCGAGUGGCGAACGGGUGAGUAAUACAUCGGAACGUGCCCAGUCGUGGGGGAUAACGUAGCGAAAGUUACGCUAAUACCGCACACGAUCUACGGAUGAAAGCGGGGGACCGUAAGGCCUCCGGCGAUUGGAGCGGCCGAUGUUGGAUUAGGUAGUUGGUGAGGUAAAGGCUCACCAAGCCGACGAUCGGUAGCUGGUCUGAGAGGACGACCAGCCACACUGGGACUGAGACACGGCCCAGACUCCUACGGGAGGCAGCAGUGGGGAAUUUUGGACAAUGGGCGCAAGCCUGAUCCAGCCAUUCCGCGUGCAGGACGAAGGCCUUCGGGUUGUAAACUGCUUUUGUACGGAACGAAAAGGCUCUGGUUAAUACCUGGGGCUCAUGACGGUACCGUAAGAAUAAGCACCGGCUAACUACGUGCCAGCCGCCGCGGUAA